rnacentral:rRNA from 1 species
UGGGGAAUUUUGGACAAUGGGCGAAAGCCUGAUCCAGCCAUGCCGCGUGCAGGAUGAAGGCCUUCGGGUUGUAAAUUGCUUUUGUACGGAACGAAAAGCCUCUUUCUAAUAAAGAGAGGUCAUGACGGUACCGUAAGAUUAAGCACCGGCUAACUACGUGCCGGCAGCCGCGGUAAUACGUAGGGUGCGAGCGUUAAUCGGAAUUACUGGGCGUAAAGCGUGUGCAGGCGGUGAUGUAAGACAGAUGUGAAAUCCCCGGGCUCAACCUGGGAACUGCAUUUGUGACUGCAUCGGUGGAGUGCGGCAGAGGGGGAUGGAAUUCCGCGUGUAGAAGUGAAAUGCGUAGAUAUGAGGAGGAACACCGAUGGCGAAGGCAAUCCCCUGGGCCUGAACUGACGCUCAUGCACGAAAGCGUGGGGAGCAAACAGG